ensembl:lncRNA
CAGGAGUCUUCUAUGAGAAGAUGCCAGAAGUUUCGCCCAUGUUCAUAAACCCAUUUCCAACCAUCUCCAAGAUGAACAUGCCACUGGCUGAAGCUGAGCCAACCAGUGACAUUGCUAGCAUCUCUGAGAUAGCAGCAGAGAGAGAGGAGUGAGAAUGGGAGAGAGAAGUAUGUGAGAGGAACAAUUCUGGAGACAUCCAGGUCAGUGAUUAGUGCCACCACAGAGAUUCCCCUGCAGCUUUUGGUGAGUACUGGGGUGACACAACUGUGCCCCUGCACCCCAUGGAAUUCCACAGUGGAGCAGUGUAAGAGCCUGCUAAUAAGAGAAAGGCUUCAGAAAGGACUUCAUUAGUAUGUCUGCUUAUAAUAAUCACUCUUGAACACCUGAAAACUACACAUGAGAUGGACUCUGAGUAGCCUGUCUUGAGGCCCAUAAAAAGGAAAGCAAAACCGGUGCAAAAUGUAGAGGGGAAAGCAAGGGGCAGAAUCCUCUCCUGCCACCCAACCACCAUUGCCUGCUGUGGGAUACCCUGAGGUGCCCUGAGGUGUCCAGGAGCUGAUGCCACCCCUGGAUCAAAGUCAUGAAUGAGUUGUGGAACCCCUACCCUGCUCCUGCAUCCCAUGGUGAAAGCACCAAGUGGACCAAGGUUUGGCUGCAGUGACCAGGCACCAUGCCUGCAUCACAGAGGACGGGCAGUUGCAUCCCAGCCAAACUGCCCCAGAAAUUGGAGAAGGCAGAUAAGAUGCUUUAAACAAAAGAAAAAGGGUUUAUAACAAGCAGAUACCCACAUCAGAAACAGUGGAUGAUGAAAGGAUAAUCUUCCAGCCCACUGGAAAAGGCUGCUGACUUGUUGCCUCAUGGAGAGAGAAGCCCACACUGGAAGAGGUUUUCUGGCAGGACUUGUGACCCAUGUGGGAGGCCUUAUGUAGGAUCUAUCCUUUCCUGAAGGACUGUGCCUUGUGGAAGAAACUGCUGAUGGAGCGAGUUUUGAAAACGUAGAUGAAAGAUUGUCCUCUGUAGAUGGGACCCUGUGCCCAAGCAGGCAGAGAACAUGAGAAGAAAGGAGCAGCAGAGACAAUAUGUGAUGAACUGAUAUCAACCACCAUUUCCUGGACCCCUUGCACCACUUAGUGGGGAGGAGAUAUAGUAAACUGGAUGUAAAAUUCAGUACAGGAAGAAGGCAGUGUUGGGAAAAAGGUAUUCUAAGAUGUGGUUUUUUUUAUUAUCCUGCUCUGAUGUUUGAUUGGCAAUAAGUGAUAUUAAUUUCCCUGAGCUGAGUCUGUUUUGUCUGCAGUGGUAGUUGGUGAUGAGUGAGCUUCCUCUGUCCUUAUCUCUCAAUCUAUGAGAUCAUCAUACUUUUGCCAUAUGUCCAGUUGAGGGUGGUAGUACAGCUUGGUUUACCACCUUGCAUUCAGCCAGAUUCAACCUACACAAGAAGUAAGGGGGCAGGAUUAGUUAGGGGCAGGAUUAAUUUGUACUGUGAGGAUCUGAUGUCUUUGAGGCCUGUGAACUUUGUGGCUAAUAAGCCUUAUAUUUGGCUAGAAAAUACUUUUGUACCUGUUGCAGCACAA